AUCGCUUCUCGGCCUUUUGGCUAAGAUCAAGUGUAGUAUCUGUUCUUAUCAGAUCUUCGAGAAUCAAAGAAAGAUGGCGAUGGCGUCGGCUAGUUUUACUGAGAGGGAUGCCAGGACAACUGGAACAAGAAAUACGUUUAGAUUUGAGCUCAU
ensembl:snRNA U2 U2 spliceosomal RNA